UUCUUUCGCCUUCGCACGCAUGUCUCCUCCUCUCCUCCUUUCCCAGUGGUGCACGCCUCCUCCUCCCAUUCCUUCUCCCUUGUCCCAGCGGCCCUCAAUCUCCCACCACGACCGCUCGAGAACGACGGCGACGAGGAGGCCCGACCCUUGGCGCAGACCCGUGCCCCCGAGGGGCAGUGACGUCAGAUCUCUCCGUCUGGCGAGGCCAGCCAUCCCAUCCGUGCCGCGAUGUCCCCAGUAUGGAAGCCCGGGCUGGGGCAGCCAACGCGGCGUCUUGUGCGCCGGAGGGGGCUCUGGCGACCGCGCGGCAGGGGACUGCACGGCGUCUGGUCGUGGGUUCCGGCGACGGCAAGCCGUAGAUCUGAGCCGCCGUCUCCACUUCCUCCUUCCUCACUUGAAGAUGCUUUGGCAGGGAUCCUCCAUAUCAAGGGAAGAGCGGGGUAGUGUGGGCGAGGAAAGUCCUUGUGUACCAGGUUUCUGAAAGAAACAGAAAAGGAAACAAGAUGCAGUAAAAUUUAGAUCCUUUGAAGGUAGUGCUAUUGUUGAAUCUUGAUUCUUGAUGCUAUGGAUAUUAUCUGCUUUCAACCCCACCCUGUACUACUCACCAGUAUAUAUUGCCUCUGGGUUAUGGGACUUGUCGGCGCAACCUAUCAUCUGAUAAAAUAUAUCAACCUGGGGGAAUAUACUUGUGCUGGAUUGUUUGAGACAUCAGAUAAGCCCAUGCUGCUGUAAAUUUUGCUCAUCUAUUGACGAGGGUAGGAAAUAGUCAGGGGCCUCCUCAUCUUUCAUGUUAUAUCACUUCUUUACGCUUCCACGGCGUAACUCCUUAUUUGUUCGCCGACAGUGGACAUUAUUUUGUCUGAUCUCCUGUGUCGAAGUAUGGUGGUUUUACUUUUCUUGUUACAUGUGAUACAAUUACUUGAGAUGUCCACGGUUAAUUAUCUUAAUAAGAGACAGCAAACACAAAACACAUCCAGUGUGCCCAUUAACGCCAUCCAAAUAAUAAUAUGACUAAUCUGCACAUGUAGUUUCAAAAUGGGAACCACCCAGUAAAAGCUCCUAUCUCUGAACCUAACCAAUAGCCAGUCUUGGUUUGAUUGCCUUGUAGAAGAUGUUAUCCUCUCACUAGCAAAUCCUCGACCCAUCCGGUGGAUCGAAGGACACAAAGCGGAUCUUCGUGCUAAGCACAUCUAGGAAUCUGUAUGUUGGGCAGGUAAAGUUCAGGCUUCAUACUUUGCCUCAUAGUACCACAUGAAUGUGUCCUACGCGCAUACAAAUAUUUUGUGUUGGGAGCCCAAAAGAUAGCAGUAUCACAUGGAUAUGACGUCAUUAACUGGUACACCUAUUAGUGUCAAAUUUCACAAGGUCAAUAGAAUUCUUAACCCUUAACAGACAUUGUUCCAUGUUUGCAAAGAAACGUUGAACAACUUCGGAGAAAAGUUGGACCGCGAAAUCCAUGGUGUAUAACUGGUAUUUUUUGUCGAGAAUGUAUAACUAGUAUUUCCUUGCUAUAUGUAUUUCUAUCAUGAAAAGGGCUCUGUUGGAAACCGUAGAAUAAUACAUGCAUGCACAAAGAGUCAGUGUUGAAUCUUCAAUAUAUUGUAGGACUAAUGUAAUUAGAUGACAUCAGUGUUAUCUGCCGGUGUGCUGCAAGGUUUAGAUGAGGUGGACUCUGAAUCUGUGUCACUGAGCUUGAGGAGAGUAAUGCACUGGUCGUAGCCAUUGUAGCACCAGGUGGUAGGACCAAAACAUUUGCAUCUGCUGUUAUUGACAUGGUUGGAUCUUCAGGCUGGAAGCUUGCGUUAGUCGCAGCAAGGAUUACCAGCAGCAGCAACCAACCUGCAGAGAUGAAACUGCAUCACUACUAAUGCUUUAGGAGCAUACCCACCACCUGGUGGUCAAAGUGACAAGUGAACAUUUUCACAACCGGGGAAUAGAAAAGAAUAUGGAUGUGCCAGAAGAAGGAAAAUGUACAAUGAACCCGGAUGUACCAUGUCGAGUGGAAUUCUCAAUUGACGAGACGCCAAUGUUCUGGUUUCGCACCCCCUCUGUGCGCGUGCUCCACUUUAUCCCCUGCAUUGCGCCUUCCGUCCCAGACACCCCCGGCUUCUACGGUGUCGACCGCUACUUUUCUGCCACGCCCACAUGUGGGUCAACGAUGGCACAUAUGUGCAACUGCUCGAGCAGGCGAUGAUGAAGGUGAGCGUCUGCUCGGUGGGGGCAGUGGAGAGCGAUGAUGAUGCCGGUGUGGACAUGAAGGCGGACGAAUCUAUUGCAAAGUUCUAUGCGUAGAGGACUGCACUAGCAAGUCUCGGGGCUGCAAUACAAUGACUUGAUGGGGAGGAGCAUCUGGUAGAUAUACAUAGUGUUAGAUUGCUUUUGGACAAGUCAUCGUAUGUAAUGCAUCUUCAAACCAGGUAUAUAACCUGCUGCUACUCCCCAAGUUUAAUAUACUUCCACCUCUAAUGGAUUUGGUCUACAUUA